CGCCCCGCGGUACCCAACACAAUGCACCAGCCUCCUGAGUCCGCGGCCGCCGCCGCCGCCGCUGCAGACAUUAGUGCUAGGAAGAUGGCGCACCCGGCGAUGUUCCCUCGGAGGGGCAGCGGUAGUGGCAGCGCCUCUGCUCUCAAUGCAGCAGGUACCGGCGUUGGUAGUCAUGCCACAUCUUCCGAGGAUUUUCCGCCUCCGUCGCUGCUCCAGCCGCCGCCUCCUGCAGCAUCUUCUACGUCGGGACCACAGCCUCCGCCUCCACAAAGCCUGAACCUCCUUUCGCAGACUCAGCUGCAGGCACAGCCUCUUGCUCCAGGCGGAACUCAAAUGAAAAAGAAAAGUGGCUUCCAGAUAACUAGCGUUACUCCGGCUCAGAUCUCUGCCAGUAUCAGCUCUAACAACAGUAUAGCAGAGGACACUGAGAGCUAUGAUGAUCUGGAUGAAUCUCACACGGAAGAUCUCUCUUCUUCUGAGAUUCUUGAUGUGUCACUUUCCAGAGCUACUGACUUAGGGGAGCCUGAACGCAGCUCCUCAGAAGAGACUCUAAAUAACUUCCAGGAAGCUGAGACACCUGGGGCAGUCUCUCCCAACCAGCCCCACCUUCCUCAGCCUCAUUUGCCUCACCUUGCACAACAGAAUGUUGUGAUCAAUGGGAAUGCUCAUCCACACCACCUCCAUCACCACCAUCACAUUCAUCAUGGGCACCACCUCCACCAUGGGCACCACCAUCCAUCCCAUGCUGCUGUGGCCAGUGCACCCGUUCCUGGAGGGCCACCUUCAAGCCCAGUAUCUAGAAAACUCUCUACAGCUGGAAGCUCUGACAGUGUUAUCCCAGUUGCACCAACUUCUGCUGUCUCAUCAAGUGGCUCACCUGCGUCCGUAAUGACUAAUAUCCGUGCUCCGAGUACUACAGGCAGUAUAGGUAUAAAUUCUGUUACUGGCACUAAUACAGGGAAUAAUGUUAACAUUACUGCUGUGAGUAGUUUUAAUCCCAAUGUGACAAGCAGCAUGCCUGGUAAUGCUAAUGUAAGUACAAGCAAUAUUCCUAGUGCUGCUAGUGUGAGUGCUGGGCCUGGAGUUACCAGUGGUAUUAAUGUGAAUAUCUUGAGUGGCAUGGGCAAUGGUACUGUUUCUUCCUCCACUGUUGUUAACAGUGUACCUAAUGCAGCUGCAGGGAUGACUGCGGGAUCAGUUUCAAGUCAGCAGCAACAACCAGCGGUUAAUACAUCACGGUUCCGAGUUGUGAAGUUAGAUUCUAGUUCUGAACCCUUUAAAAAGGGUCGGUGGACUUGCACUGAGUUCUAUGAAAAAGAAAAUGCCGUGCCUGCUGGAGAAGGUGUGGUAAAUAAAGUGGUGGAGACUGUAAAACAAAAUCCGAUAGAAGUGACUUCUGAGAGGGAGAGCACUAGUGGGAGUUCAGUGAGCAGUAGUGUCAGCACACUGAGUCACUACACAGAGAGCGUGGGAAGUGGAGAGAUGGGGGCCCCUACUGUGGUGGUGCAGCAGCAGCAGCAGCAGCAGCAGCAGCAACCACCACCAGCUCUUCAAGGUGUGGCCCUCCAACAGAUGGAUUUCAGUAGCACUGGUCCACAGAGUAUUUCAGCAGUUAGUAUACCACCAAGUAUUUCUCAGUCACAGAUCUCACAAGUACAGUUACAGUCUCAAGAUCUGAGCUAUCAACAAAAGCAAGGUCUUCCAUCCAUACCUCUGCAAGCCACUAUCAAUGCUGCAACUGGUGUUCAGCCAUCACCUGUAAGUGUGGUUGGUGUAACUUCAACUUUAGGUCAGCAGCCUUCCAUUUCCAGCUUGGCUCAACCCCAACUACCAUAUUCUCAGGCGGUUCCUCCAGUGCAAACUCCCAUUCCAGGGGCACCACCCCAACAGUUACAAUAUGGACAACAGCAACCAGUGGUUUCUACACAGAUGGUUUCAGGCCAUGGUAAAUCAAUGACUCAAAGUCUAACUUCGGAGUACGUCCAACAGCAGUCAGUUCUUCAAACAGCAAUGUCCUCCGGACAGCCCAGUUCUGCAGGAGUGGGAGCAGGAAAAACGGUGAUUCCUGUGGCUCAGCCACAGAGUAUCCAGCUGCCAAUGCAGCCCACAGCAGUCCAGGCACAACCUGCAGGGGCAUCUGGCCAGCCCAUUGGGCAAGCUCAGACAGCAGUGUCUGCUGUGUCUACUGGCAGUCAAAUUGGAAAUAUUGGUCAACAAGCAAAUAUACCAGCUGCAGUGCAGCAGCCCCCUACCCACGUUACACCUUCAGUUAUUCAACAAGGUGCUCCUCCAUCUUCACAAGUAGUUCCACCUGUUCAAACUGGGAUUUUUCAUCAGGGAGUUCAAACUAGCGCUUCAAGCCUUCCUCAACAAUUGGUUAUUGCACCUCAAAGUACCUUGUUAACUGUGCCUCCACAGCCACAAGGAGUAGAACCAGUAGCUCAAGGAGUUGUUUCACAGCAGUUGCCCGCAGUUAGUCCUUUGCCUUCUGCUAGUAGUAUUUCUGUUACAAAUCAGGUUAGUUCAUCUGGUCCUUCUGGAAUGCCUUCUGCCCCAGCAAACUUGGUUCCAUCACAGAAUAUAGCACAAACCCCUGCCACCCAAAAUGGUAAUUUGGUUCCAAGUGUUAGUCAACCUCCCUUGAUAGCAACUAACAUAAGUUUGCCUUUGGCACAACAGAUACCACUGAGUUCUACUCAGUUCUCUGCACAAUCAUUAGCUCAGGCAAUUGGAAGCCAAAUUGAAGAUGCCAGGCGCCCAACGGAGCCCUCCUUAGUUGGCUUACCUCAGACUAUCAGUGGUGACAGUGGGGGAAUGUCAGCAGUUUCAGAUGGGAGUAGCAGCAGCCUAGCAGCCUCUGCUUCUCUUUUCCCGUUGAAGGUGCUACCGCUGACGACACCCCUGGUGGAUGGCGAGGAUGAGAGCUCUCUAUUUCAGUGCUUCUCUCCUACCAGAGGUGCAAGGAGUGAUCCUAGAACCACAGAUACAGCCAAGACCACGGAGAGCUUUUGACGUCAGGGGUCCAUUUUCUCCACUGAACCCUUGGAGGCAGAAUAUCCAGCUUCUGGAGAGAGUGGGAAAGGAUAAUAAACAAAUUUCUUUCAACUGGUAAAACAUCAUACUUCUUCAGCAAAAGGAAUUCUUCUAGCAGAGCCUUCAUGGAUGAUAUCUGUCACACAUGCCAGCACCUGCAGUUUGGAAGGCAGUGGUGAAUGGAUCCAUGCAAUAUGUCUAGAAGAUACAAGGAUGAGCGAGACACCUGAUCUUGUCAUUUAUAAACUUUAAUAUUUACUUUGGUUUACUUUUGGUCUGAAAAUGGAAAGGCUCAAAUAAUAAAAUAUUUUCAGAUUGGAAUUUUAUAUGGCCAUGAAAAUAAUUCCUUUCUAUUCAGAAGACUGAAAUUGAGGAAGCUUGAGAGACUCCUUUCUUUUAAAAACAGCUUUCUGUAUCUGUUUCACUUAAAAGGUUUAUGGGAUUGAAAAACACCUUAAUGAAAUAGGCAAAUAUUUUUUUUAAAGUAGAAUAGGAAAGCCAUAAAACUUAAUGGAAUUUUCUGUUGUUGUUGCCUGACAUUGAAAGGGAUUAGUAAAUAAAGGAUGAAUUCUUCAUUAUUCCAAAAUUACUUUUAAUGUCUUCCUUUAGUUCAUCUUUUGCUGAUCUUGAGCCUUAUUCUUAUUAGAUUUGUUGUAUCAACAAAGAUUGUGGUAUAGAAAUAGAAGAGACAUCUUUUAAAAUCCAAAUGGCUUGAUUUGUCUUCUGAAGUAAAUACUUGAGGUGGUAUUUUGCACUGAAGGCAUACUAAAGUUUAAAUGAUACAGUCACAAAGUGGUAGUUCACAGAGCAAAGGCAAUUAAAUAUUUGAAUAAGCCUAUUGGUGUGAGUAAAUGUUGCAAAAUAGUUAUCCAGAUUAUCAAUUAAUUGAUAGAAGUAGAUAUCAUAUAUUUUUGUUUUUCUCUUUGGUACCUAUUAACUAGCUAGAUAAAAAUAGCUAAAUAAAAUAAGGCAUUUGAUGCUGACAGCUUGCUUUUUUUGGGUAUAAAUUUUAAGACUAGAAAUUCCAGUGCUAAUAAUGAGGAGGUAACAUAAACGUUUUAGGAAUCUUAAAGGUUUCAGAAGCCACAUUUGUUAAAAUAAAUAACCUAGUCUUUAGCCUUUUUUUUGGCUAUCUGUGAAAACUUUUUCCUCAUUAAUUAUAAGUAAAUUUAAGUAUAUUACUUUAAAGUAAGCUUAGAAGAUCAUUUUUCACUAAAAUUUCCCCAGAGAGCUCUGAAUUCCCAUAAGUGAUUACAGUUUUUUAUUUGACUUUUUAAAAAAAUGUUAGUAAAACAGUUGAUGUACAAACCCAUAGAAAUUAAUAAACACCUACCCAAUAUUUUAGAAAGAACUCAGGGAACCGAGAGUGAAAUUUGCUUGGAAAUAAAGUUAGUUGAAUUUUUGAAACUACCUUAAAAACCAGUUUAUGACCUGAGAGACUAUUAACUUUAAUGUUUGAGCUUUGAAGAUGAAAAGUGAUUUAAUCUCUUAAUCUCAAACUUUGAUUAAAUUUUAGCUCUGUUCCUUAAAGUGUGCAAAAGAAAUGUAAGUGCAUUUCUAUUCACCUCAUACCAUCAAAAGCUAUUUAAAAGCGAAACUUUUUGUAUAUUAAUGUGAACUGACUUGUUUAUUUGAACUUUUAUUUCAAUGCAUUUUCCUUUCAGAAUUUUUAAUAUUUGUGUCACAAUAUGAAGUUCUAUAUUUCUCAGUGUUUA